CGUCCCGCUGGUGGGCAGUGACCUGCCUCGGCCACCUGCUCCGAACAGGAGCCGAGAACACAGACGUGGCGCCCUGGACCAACGAGAUCGGGCGCCUGCGUGAGAGGCUCAGUGCCGUCACCUCUGAGUCUCUGCUGGCCACCUCCACCAACAUCGCGAAGCUCGUUUGCAAAUAUUUCCCCCGAGGCCAGGCCUCAGGCUUCAUGAGCAGCAUUGUGGAGAGCCUGCUGUGCACCAGGCCCGUGUGCGCGUGGGCCGCUGAGCGGUGGACGCUCACCUUCCUGGGGGAUUGCGGAGAGCAAAUAUUCCAGGAGGAGGUGCCCAGACUCGUGCACCUCCUUUACACCUGCCUGCGGAGCACCCGGCAGAGCGCUCGCAGGUGCUUUGUGCUGCGGGCCGUGUUCCUCCUGGCCCACUCUC